rnacentral:rRNA from 1 species
CCUACGGGAGGCAGCAGUAGGGAAUCUUCCACAAUGGACGAAAGUCUGAUGGAGCAACGCCGCGUGAGUGAAGAAGGUUCUCGGAUCGUAAAACUCUGUUGUGAGGGAAGAACAAGUACCGGAGUAACUGCCGGUACCUUGACGGUACCUCAUUAGAAAGCCACGGCUAACUACGUGCCAGCAGCCGCGGUAAUACGUAGGUGGCAAGCGUUGUCCGGAAUCAUUGGGCGUAAAGCGCGCGCAGGCGGCCCCUUAAGUCUGAUGUGAAAGCCCACGGCUCAACCGUGGAGGGUCAUUGGAAACUGGGGGACUUGAGUGCAGAAGAGGAAAGCGGAAUUCCAAGUGUAGCGGUGAAAUGCGUAGAGAUUUGGAGGAACACCAGUGGCGAAGGCGGCUUUCUGGUCUGUAACUGACGCUGAGGCGCGAAAGCGUGGGGAGCAAACAGGAUUAGAUACCCUGGUAGUCCACGCCGUAAACGAUGAGUGCCAAGUGUUAGGGGGUUUCCGCCCCUUAGUGCUGCAGCUAACGCAUUAAGCACUCCGCCUGGGGAGUACGGUCGCAAGACUGAAACUCAAAGGAAUUGACGG